rnacentral:rRNA from 1 species
UACGGAGGGGCUAGCGUUGUUCGGAAUUACUGGGCGUAAAGCGCACGUAGGCGGCUUUGCAAGUCAGAGGUGAAAGCCCGGGGCUCAACCCCGGAAUAGCCUUUGAGACUGCAUCGCUAGAAUUGUGGAGAGGUAAGUGGAAUUCCGAGUGUAGAGGUGAAAUUCGUAGAUAUUCGGAAGAACACCAGUGGCGAAGGCGACUUACUGGACACAUAUUGACGCUGAGGUGCGAAAGCGUGGGGAGCAAACAGG